rnacentral:rRNA from 1 species
AGAGCGAACGCUGGCGGCAGGCCUAAUACAUGCAAGUCGAACGGAUCCUUCGGGAUUAGUGGCGGACGGGUGAGUAACACGUGGGAACGUGCCCUUUGGUUCGGAACAACUCAGGGAAACUUGAGCUAAUACCGAAUGUGCCCUUCGGGGGAAAGAUUUAUCGCCAUUGGAGCGGCCCGCGUCUGAUUAGCUAGUUGGUAGGGUAAAGGCCUACCAAGGCUACGAUCAGUAGCUGGUCUGAGAGGAUGAUCAGCCACACUGGGACUGAGACACGGCCCAGACUCCUACGGGAGGCAGCAGUAGGGAAUCUUGCGCAAUGGGCGAAAGCCUGACGCAGCGACGCCGCGUGGGGGAUGAAUGCCUUCGGGUUGUAAACCCCUUUCAGCAGGGACGAAGCGAAAGUGACGGUACCUGCAGAAGAAGCGCCGGCUAACUACGUGCCAGCAGCCGC